CAGAACAGGUGCAAACAAGGGCAGCAGCAGUGCAAGCUUCCCCACAUUGCUCUGCUAAUGUACCUGCACCAUGAGCUGGAGGAAAGCUUCCAC
rnacentral:sRNA from 1 species